GCGAGCCAGAGAGCGGCAUGCUGCGAGAGCAGAGGAAACUCCUCCCUCCACGCAAGGGGCGCGACCCGGAGACGGGUGGCCAGAGAUGGCCGGCAACAGAACAGAAACGAAUCCGGCCCGGCGCACGGUGAAGGCUGUGCUGGAGGUUUCCGGAGCCGGAAUGGAACGGCUGACCCGCGCGGAGCAAGGCCAGACAGGGCCGCAGGUCCCUGCGGCGGGCCCGGGUGGGCCGCAUAGCCAAAUGUGCCGCUAGAACAAAAGGAGGGUUACUCCUGGCACGC
rnacentral:RNase_P_RNA from 1 species